AUCCAGCUGACGAGUCCCAAGUAGGGCGAAAUGCGCAUCCACUGCUAGUCAGCAU
rnacentral:hammerhead_ribozyme from 1 species